rnacentral:rRNA from 1 species
CGUCUAUAUACGUAUAGCAUAUCAAUAAGCGGAGGAAAAGAAACUAACAGGAUUCCCUUAGUAACGGCGAGUGAAGCGGGAAGAGCUCAAAUUUGAAAUCUUCAAGGUUCUACCUUGACGAAUUGUAGUUUAUAGAAGUGUUUUCUGUUAGAUGAGUAGCAAAAGUUCCUUGGAAUAGGACAUCAUAGAGGGUGAGAAUCCCGUAUUUGGUUAUUCAUUCUAGCGUUGUGAUACACUUUCAAAGAGUCGGAUUGUUUGGGAAUGCAGUCCAAAAUGGGUGGUAAAUUUCAUUUAAAGCUAAAUACUGGCGAGAGACCGAUAGCGAACAAGUACCGUGAGGGAAAGAUGAAAAGAACUUUGAAAAGAGAGUUAAACAGUACGUGAAAUUGUCAAAAGGGAAGCGUUUGACACCAGUGUUGUUUUCUCGAAAAUCAAUUAAAAGACUGAUUUUGUGUAGGAGUAUUGACUUUAUCAGGCUUUCUGCACUCUUUCUUGUAACUUUUUAAUGCACUUUUCGGUUAACAAGUCAACAUCAAUUUCUUUUGUUGUAAAAGGGUCAUUGAGGAAGGUGGCUUUCUUUUCGGAGAAAGUGUUUAUAGCCUUGUGCCUCUGCAAUCGGAGAGAUUGAGGUCUGCAGCGUAGAUCCUUCGGGGUUAGAUACAGUUUGUGCUAAGUUAUAGCCUUUCAUAGACAACUUGUUGACUAUGAUCAGUCAUGUAGCUUACUCGCUUAUGCUAUUUUACCUACGCUUAGGAUGUUGACUGAUAUGUAGUCGUA